rnacentral:lncRNA from 1 species
GAUAAUAUAUUAUUUGAUUUAAGAACAAGCUCAUGUCAUACGUGCAUGAGAAUAAUGCCAGAUUCACAAGUGAACUUCAACAUUAAUAAGUAGAACAAUGUCACAUGAAGGCUUUGAAUACUACAUGAAUCAUCAGUUAUAAUUGUGCGGGGCCAUGAAACAAUUCACCAAUCUAACUGAUCACAAUGUCAUUCAAUUUUACACAUAGAAGCAUUGGACAUAGUGCUUUUAAAGGCAAUGCUUUCAUCUUGGUAGAGUUCUUGUUGAUCGAUAAUGACACAUAAAGUGCAUCACCUUGAUACAGGUGCGAUUGUGAUAACAAUAGCUUCUAUCCUGAAAGAAAAAUAUGAGAUACCUUACAAAUCAUUAUCUAACAAUAGCACACUUAAGAGAACUUGGACCCUCUCAAGGUUUUCUUCAAGCUCUGCACCAAUACUUCUUACAAAAAAAGAAUCAGACACGCCUACUUGCGUAUAUUAUGACAUAGCAAAAACCUGUUAAAAAAUGAUACCAUGAAUCCAAUGAAUCCACAAUGAAACUUACUAAUAUUUCCAUUGUUUGGGAUUGUGCAAUGGAACAAGGAUAGGUUAAUCUUAAGGCCCAUGAAAAUAUUCAAAAGUGAAUUAACCUACAAUAUAUAGUAAGACAAGAGUGAACUAAAGUUGAUUGCAUAAUUUAUUGCCAAUAAAAUUUAAUGUAGAUUAGUAGGCCAAAUUUCCUCCAAUGGUGGCAUGAUCUUGAGGAGCAGUAUCAACGUAAUUGCAGCGUACCUAAUGCUCAACCACUGAAUCUUCCUUCAACUAUUGUCAUGCCCACCUGCACCGUGAAACUCAAUCAACUGAAGAAAAGCUAUAAUUUCAACAAAUGUCACCUCUUUAUUUGUAAGUUUGUCGUCUUGUUUAGCAUACUAAACUUUCCUUUCUCUAAGCGAAGUUUUUCAUACACAAUAUGUACACAAAAGGAAAUCCAAUAACUCCAGUUCAUGACAGGUAGAUAGUUUGGUAGACAGAAAAACUCUUAUGAUAUGGAUCAUAAUAUAAUUUGCGGGAAUAUAUGUAUGUUUGUCCUUAAGUAGAUUCAAGGUCUUAGCUCAGAGAAAAUAAGAAGUACAAAAUAAAUUUUCAAGGGUUCUACAUUCGACACGGCUGCAAAAACUUCAGUUAGUACAUGGUUUAUAUGGCAUAAGUUUAUUUCCAAUAUAUCACAUACCUAUAAUUGCAAGUCAAUCCAAACGGUGGUUUGCAUGCAUAUACUGCAACAAAGCAUUAACCAUUUGAUUGCAUAUAAAGCAAGCUUGCCUGCAUAAAACAAAAGAAAUCACUCAUAGAAAAAUCAGAUCACCAUAUGAAGUUAUUAAGAUCCACCUUCUCAUCACUCAAACGCACCCUCUAGGAGCAGCGGUGCAUAAACUGAAUCAACGCAAGACAGGAACUCAAUCCCCAGCACAAGAAUAUCAGUUCUGCACAGUAAGAAAAAUAACCUCACAAACUACAAUAACAAACUGAAUUGACGCAAAAACAAAAUCUAAACUGAAUGUCGUGCAGAACAUGCCACAUAUGCUCAAAAUAGAGAACCAAAUCAACAAGACAGUAGGUUAAUAUAUAAGGGGAAAGAAUGAAGUGGGUGGAUCAACUCACAGGAAUAGAGAAAUCAGCGUCUGGGGGCAUCAACUGCAAGGAGACGAUGACAGGGGAGGCGGAACAUUUGCGAUAUUUCUUAGGUCACAAAAAGUGUCUGAGACCAAUUAAGUCAUUCCCAAUAACAACGAUGAGGCGAACCUGACGGAUCAUCACUUCAAUUUUGACCACCGCAUUGUAUGUGAUCCCUUGAUUCUAAACUGAACUAAUAUAUUAAUGAGAAUUCUUCUAGCUUACAGUGUACAUGACCACACCGGCGAUAUAUAGCUUACAGUGUACAUGACCAAUUAAGUGUGUUCGCCAAUUAUUCUAAUCUAUAUCUUCUACUACAUUUUCUGCCAAUUAUUU